rnacentral:rRNA from 1 species
AAUGAACGUUGGCGGCGUGGAUUAGGCAUGCAAGUCGUGCGAGAACCGUAGCAAUACGGGGACAGCGGCGAAAGGGAGAGUAACACGUGGAUACCAACCCUUGGGACUGGGAUAGCUACGGGAAACUGUAGGUAAUACCAGAUGACGUCUCCGGACCAAAGGUGUGAUUCCGCCCGAGGACGGGUCCGCGUUCUAUUAGCUAGUUGGUAGGGUAAUGGCCUACCAAGGCAAAGAUGGAUACGGGGUGUGAGAGCAUGCCCCCGCUCACUGGGACUGAGAUACUGCCCAGACACCGACGGGUGGCUGCAGUCGAGGAUCUUCGGCAAUGGGCGCAAGCCUGACCGAGCGACGCCGCGUGCGAGAUGAAGGCCUUCGGGUUGUAAAUCGCUGUCAGUGGGGAGGAAAUGCCGGUGGGUUCUCCCAUCGGUUUGACCUAUCCGCAGAGGAAGGACGGGCUAAGUUCGUGCCAGCCGCCGCAGUAAAAC